GCAUUGCGGAGCUCGCUAGUUGGGGCGUUGGCCUUCCUUAGGAGUGUGAGUCUAGCGUUAUCCCUUUUUUCCGGCUGGAUCCCGGGUUACCCCACCAGCCCGACCUCAACCCACUCACGUCCACAGCACGAGCCCCAGCGGCCUUGCGCGGUGCUUGCUCUCUAGUAGCGGCUGACUAGGUAAAUCCUAAGUUGUGGUUUUUUUUCCUGCGGUCCAGCUUGAUGUGUGUCCUUACGGUACAUACUUUUUGUAUGUAUAUAAUGUUGGUCGAAAUGAAGCUUAUGAGCAAUAUAAUGUUAUGGCCUAAUUCAAAAUAGUAUCCCCACCCCAAACUUUGACUUUGGCUGUCAUUCACGGUAAUGAAUGCCGCUGUAAUUGAGGCCUUUGUCAAACGCUAGGUUUGGUUACGGGAGUGGUCAUAAUGUACACACAGCUCCCCACUUACCCACAAGGAUGCAUUCCAGGAACCCCCCGCCGGAUGGCUGAAACCGUCAGUAGAGACGGGGUUUCACCAUAUUGGCCAGGCUGGUCUUGAACUCCUGACCUCGCGAUCCACCCGCCUCGGCCUCCCAAAGUGCUGGGAUUACAGACGUGAGCCACCGCGCCCGGCCAUGUUUCCUUUUAGCAAUGGAGCAUAACGGGAUCUGAGGAACAAUAUAACUCAGGAAGAGCUGAUGGAACAUUAAGACGUGUUACAACUCUCAGUGCUUCUUAAACUUCUUCAGUAACUGAAAUCUCCUGUUAAGUUUUUUAGUAAAUGAAAUUUGUAACCCCAGAACCUCCAGAUAUUGAUUCAGUGGGUCAGGGUUAGAGGUCACACACCUCCGUAUAUCUGACUGUAGGUGGUCCAUACACACUACACAUACCUUGCCUUAGCUUUAAGAGUCACUUUUAAAUUCUGAACAGACUGAGAUGCGUUUGACUAGUUCUUCAUCCCUGGGACUUCAGCCCAUGUGUCAUCUCCUUAGAGGCCUAUAGUGACCAUCUAAGGCAAUCCUGUCUAUCUCAUGCUCUUUUUUCCUUUUUCACAAUACCUUCUUCAUUUGCUGCAUAGCAUUUGUAUUAACAUUUAUUUAUUUAUUCCUCGGUCUGUCUCCCUACACUGUAAAUCCCCUUACUAGACCAUAAGCUCCAAGUGGGUAUAAUAUAGCAUCUAGUAAAGUGCUAAACACAGUAAAUGCUCAAUAAAUAAUUUUCAAAAAAAUAAUUCAUUCCAAAAAAACAUAAAAUCACAUGUUGGCAAGUUCACCCCAACCACCAAAUGUCUGAGUUGACAGUAUUUUCAGCAAAACACAGAAAAUCAAGUAACACAUACAGUGGUUCCCCUUAUCCAAGAAAAUCUGGUUCAAAAAGAGAUGUGUACCAGAAGGUAAUCUGGGAGAGGCCACAUUCAAAUAACUUUCAUUACAGUGUAUUGUUAUAAUUGUCUACUCACCUGAUUUCGGGAGUUUGAGACCAGCCAGACCAACGUGGAGAAACCCCGUCUCCACUAAAAAUACAAAAAUUAGUCUGGAAUGGUGUCGCAUGCCUGUAACCCUAGCUACUCAGGAGGCUGAGGCAAGAGAAUCCCUUGAACCCGGGAGGUGGAGGUUGCAGUGAGCUGAGGUCACACGACUGCACUCCAGCCUGGGCAACAGAGCAAGACUCCGUCUGUAAAAAAAAAAAAAAAAAAAAACAGGCUGAUAACAGCAAAUCUGUGCAAAAAUACGUAACAAUCAGAACUCUAGAACUCUAAUUCCUGGUUACUAGGAGUGUAAAAUGGCAUAACCCUUUUGGGAAAAGUUUAGUAGUUUAUCAUAAUAUGAAGCAUAUAUACACCACCUAUGGCUCCACAAUUCCAAUUCCAGGUACUUAUUGAAGAUAUAUGAAACUAAAUUCACAGAAAGACUUGUACAGGAAUGUUCGUAGUAACUUUAUUGAUAACAGAACUAAAAGCAACAGGGUACCAUCAAUAGAAUGAAUAAACAUACAGGUAUAGUCCCACAACAGAAUAGUACUCCAUAGCUAAGGAAAGAAAACUCUCUGCCACAACAUUGAUGAAUGACAAACAUGGUGAGUGAAACAAGCCUACGCUAAAGAAGGCACAGUGUGCAGUUCCAUUUGCAAGAAAUUUUAGACAAAGCAAAAAUAAUGAAUGGUGGAAAAAAUCAGAACAGUGUUUGCCCGGGGCUACAUAUUGAGAAGGCGGGUGAGGGAACUGGGGAGUGAAUGUAAUGCUCUGUAAUUUAACAGGUCUUAGGGUUUCACAGGGGUCUUAGUCAACGUGGGCAGCUAUAACAGAGUAUCAUAGAGUGGUGGCUUACACAACAAACAUUUAUUUCUCACAGUUCUGGAGACUGGAAGUCAGAGAUAAUGGUCAGGUUCUUGUGAAGGCUUUUACUGGUUUAUAGAUAGCUACUUUCUCAUUGCAUUCUCACAUUGCGGGAGAUGGAGGAAGAGAGAAAGAAAGGACCAG
rnacentral:lncRNA from 1 species